ACGAACGCUGGCGGCGUGCUUAACACAUGCAAGUCGAACGGAAAGGCCCCUUUGGGGGUACUCGAGUGGCGAACGGGUGAGUAACACGUGAGUAACCUGCCCUUGACUUCGGGAUAACUUCAGGAAACUGGGGCUAAUACCGGAUAGGAAUCCUUGCUGCAUGGUGGGGGUUGGAAAGCUUCGGCGGUUUUGGAUGGACUCGCGGCUUAUCAGCUUGUUGGUGGGGUAGUGGCUUACCAAGGCUUUGACGGGUAGCCGGCCUCAGAGGGCGACCGGCCACAUUGGGACUGAGAUACGGCCCAGACUCCUACGGGAGGCAGCAGUGGGGAAUAUUGCACAAUGGGCGGAAGCCUGAUGCAGCAACGCCGCGUGCGGGAUGACGGCCUUCGGGUUGUAAACCGCUUUCAGCAGGGGCGAAGCUUGUGGUGACGGUACCUGCAGAAGAAGCACCGGCUAACUACGUG
rnacentral:rRNA from 1 species